rnacentral:rRNA from 1 species
AACGAACGCUGGCGGCAUGCCUAACACAUGCAAGUCGAACGAGACCUUCGGGUCUAGUGGCGAACGGGUGCGUAACGCGUGGGAACCUGCCCUUAGGUUCGGAAUAACUCCCCGAAAGGGGUGCUAAUACCGGAUAAUGUCUUCGGACCAAAGAUUUAUCGCCUUUGGAUGGGCCCGCGUUGGAUUAGCUAGUUGGUAGGGUAAAAGCCUACCAAGGCGACGAUCCAUAGCUGGUCUGAGAGGAUGAUCAGCCACACUGGGACUGAGACACGGCCCAGACUCCUACGGGAGGCAGCAGUGGGGAAUAUUGGACAAUGGGCGAAAGCCUGAUCCAGCAAUGCCGCGUGAGUGAUGAAGGCCUUAGGGUUGUAAAGCUCUUUUACCCGGGAUGAUAAUGACAGUACCGUGAGAAUAAGCUCCGGCUAACUCCGUG